UCUGUAUCCUGAUGCUACUUUAUUGAUGGUGGAUUUGUAAAUUUAAGUGUUUAAAUGUUGUAAAUUGAAGUGUUUAAGUGCUGCAAAUUGAAGUAUUUAGUUGCUGGAAAUUGAGAUGUUUUAUCGCUGUAAUUGAGGUGUAUAAAUGUUGUUAAUUGAUAUGUUUAAGUGCUGCAAAUUGAAGUGUUUAAGUGCUGCAAAUUGAAGUGUUUAAGUGCUGCAAAUUGAAGUGUUUAGUUGUUGGAAAUUGAGAUGUUUUAUCGCUGUAAUUGAGGUGUAUAAAUGUUGUUAAUUGAUAUGUUAAAGUGCUGCAAAUUGAAGUGUUUAAAUGCUGUAAAUUGAAGUGUUAAAGUGCUACUUUCCAUUGUCACCUCCCCCAUUUCUUUAUGCAUCAAUAACUAUAUUAAUGAAAUCAAGUACUACAAUUAUAUAUUAUUACAGAUGGGGGUUGGAGAAUACGAUCAAAGGGAAAACAUCAGAUAUGGUGAUUCCCAGCCAAGAAGUGGCUUUUUAGACACCCAACAUUUUGCACAACCAAACAUGACCAGAACUUCUAAACCUACAUGUUGAGGAUUCACACUCAAGGAGCAAGAAACAUCUCAGCAACUCAUUGGGAUCGAGUAGUCAAAAUUCAGAAUCAAGUAACACACAAGAGCUAGAUUUGGAGCUUAGACUGUCACUGUAAUCAGUAAUUUUUUUUGCUACUUUAAAUGCAUGCUCAUGGAACUACAUUUUAUGCUUUCCUAGAAUUGCAAGUUCAAAUAAGGUGUUGAUCUGCAAUUUAUACAUACAACUUGAGCAAGUUGAUAUGAA